AAUGAACGCUGGCGGCGUGGAUUAGGCAUGCAAGUCGAACGAGAAAAGCUCCUUCGGGGGUCUAGUAAAGUGGCGACCUGGUCAGUAACAGUUGGGUAACUUGCCCGGAAGUAAGGAAUAACUCAGGGAAACCUGGGCUAAUACCUCAUGUGGACAUAGACUCCUCGGAGCCUUUGUCUAAAGUAUUUAUACGCUUCCGGAUGGGCCCGACCCCCAUUAGCUAGUUGGUAAGGUAAUGGCUUACCAAGGCUACGAUGGGUAGGCGACGUGAGAGCGUGACCGCCGACACGAGGACUGAGAUACGGCCUCG
rnacentral:rRNA from 1 species